rnacentral:rRNA from 1 species
GAUGAACGCUGGCGGCGUGCUUAACACAUGCAAGUCGAACGAAGCUUUUCGGAGCUUAGUGGCGGACGGGUGAGUAACGCGUGAGGACCUGCCCUUAGGAGGGGGACAACAGUUGGAAACGACUGCUAAUACCCCAUGAGCCGAGAGGUGAAACAUUUUAUGGCCUAAGGAUGAACUCGCGUCUGAUUAGCUAGUUGGUGGGGUAAGGGCUUACCAAGGCGACGAUCAGUAGCUGGUCUGAGAGGAUGACCAGCCACACUGGGACUGAGACACGGCCCAGACUCCUACGGGAGGCAGCAGUGGGGAAUUUUCCGCAAUGGGGGCAACCCUGACGGAGCAACGCCGCGUGAGGGAGGAAGGCCUGUGGGUUGUAAACCUCUUUUCUCAGGGAAGAAGUACUGACGGUACCUGAGGAAUCAGCAUCGGCUAACUCCGUGCCAGCAGCCGCGGUAAUACGGAGGAUGCAAGCGUUAUCCGGAAUUAUUGGGCGUAAAGCGUCCGUAGGCGGUUAUUUAAAUCUGCUGUCAAAGACUGCAGCUCAACUGUGGGCAGGCAGUGGAAACUGAGUAACUAGAGAGCGGCAGGGGUAGAGGGAAUUCCCAGUGUAGCGGUGAAAUGCGUAGAUAUUGGGAAGAACACCAGUGGCGAAGGCGCUCUACUGGGCCGUAACUGACGCUGAGGGACGAGAGCUAGGGGAGCGAAAGGGAUUAGAUACCCCUGUAGUCCUAGCUGUAAACGAUGGAUACUAGGUGUUGGACGUAUCGACCCGUUCAGUACCGAAGCAAACGCGUUAAGUAUCCCGCCUGGGGAGUACGC